CCUACGGGGAGCAGCAGUGAGGAAUAUUGGUCAAUGGGCGGGAGCCUGAACCAGCCAAGUCGCGUGAGGGAAGACGGUCCUAUGGAUUGUAAACCUCUUUAGGCGGGGAGCAAUGCCGGGCACGCGUGCCCGGAGGGAGAUUACCCGCAUACUAAACAUCGGCUAACUCCGUGCCAGCAGCCGCGGUAAUACGGAGGAUGCGAGCGUUAUCCGGAUUUAUUGGGUUUAAGGGGUGCGUAGGCGGAUGUUUCAGUCAGCGGGAAAGGGUCCGGGCUCAACCCGGGCCGGCCGUUGAAACUGGCGAUCUUGAGUGGGCGAGAAGUAUGCGGAAUGCGUGGUGUAGCGGUGAAAUGCAUAGAUAUCACGCAGAACUCCGAUUGCGAAGGCAGCAUACCGGCGCCCGACUGACGCUGAGGCACGAAAGCGUGGGGAUCGAACAGGAUUAGAUACCCCGGUAGUC
rnacentral:rRNA from 1 species